rnacentral:rRNA from 1 species
AGGACGAACGCUGGCGGCGUGCUUAACACAUGCAAGUCGAGCGGUAAGGCCUUUCGGGGUACACGAGCGGCGAACGGGUGAGUAACACGUGGGUGAUCUGCCCUGCACUUCGGGAUAAGCCUGGGAAACUGGGUCUAAUACCGGAUAUGACCUCCUAUCGCAUGGUGGGUGGUGGAAAGAUUUAUCGGUGCAGGAUGGGCCCGCGACCUAUCAGCUUGUUGGUGGGGUAAUGGCCUACCAAGGCGACGACGGGUAGCCGACCUGAGAGGGUCGACCGGCCACACUGGGACUGAGACACGGCCAGACUCCUACGGGAGCAG